CCUACGGGCGGCUGCAGUGGGGAAUAUUGCACAAUGGGCGCAAGCCUGAUGCAGCCAUGCCGCGUGUGUGAAGAAGGCCUUCGGGUUGUAAAGCACUUUCAGCGGGGAGGAAGGCGUUAAGGUUAAUAACCUUGUCGAUUGACGUUACCCGCAGAAGAAGCACCGGCUAACUCCGCGCCAGCAGCCGCGGUAAUACGGAGGGUGCAAGCGUUAAUCGGAAUUACUGGGCGUAAAGCGCACGCAGGCGGUCUGUCAAGUCGGAUGUGAAAUCCCCGGGCUCAACCUGGGAACUGCAUUCGAAACUGGCAGGCUAGAGUCUUGUAGAGGGGGGUAGAAUUCCAGGUGUAGCGGUGAAAUGCGUAGAGAUCUGGAGGAAUACCGGUGGCGAAGGCGGCCCCCUGGACAAAGACUGACGCUCAGGUGCGAAAGCGUGGGGAGCAAACAGGAUUAGAUACCCUUGUAGUC
rnacentral:rRNA from 1 species